GUAAAUAAUGACGUCAAUUUACACAAAAAAAUGUUUUUGAAAUUCAUUGUAUUCUCAACAAUUAAAUAAUAAAUAUCAAAAUAACAUAUUUCAUAAUAUUACUAAUAAUUAUCGAUAUUGAUAACAUUUUUGAAAUAUUUGGCAUACCAUGAACAUGAAACAAUAUAUUUAAACUCAACGUUAUCUCAAAACUUGUUAAAAGUCACUUUUAAACUUUUACAACAUGUUAAACAUCAAAAUAUUUAAUAUUUUAAUAUUUCUAAGCAUUAUUUCAUUGAUUAAAAGCAAAGGUACCGUAAAAGAUUUUGAAAAUUAUAAAGCUACACCAUCUGAGCAACUCCUAUGGAUAAGAUACUGUCAAAAACAAAUGUUGGAUUACAUCUAUGAUGAUUUCAAGAUGUAUGGUAGGAAAUUAUACUUGGAGGUACCUUAUACAGUCCCAUUUGAAUGUGAAUUUAAUUACUUGAAUCACCAAGGAAUCAAAAUAAGAAUUACUAUGGAAAUGUGUGGUGUGGAAUGGAACGCACCUACGGAUACUUGGGCUGAUUGUGGAACGGUUGCUGAGCCACCUAAACAUACCUGUAAUAUUACUGGUGAGGCUGUGUUACGAGCUGAUAUUCUUGAGCAUAAGUAUACGAUAAAAUUGGUUAAGGUUGAUACUGGGGUGUGUCCUGUUCCGGAACCUCCAAAAUGUGAUGUUAAUAGACAUGUUGUUACUGAUACCUUGGGAGUAAUGGGGGAUCUAAUGUUUAUAAGCAAAGAGUUGAUUUUUAUUGUGAUGGGGAUGUUUUGAAGUAUAGUCAGGAUUUGGUGAUAUGUGGGAAUGGGAGGUUUUUAUUGCCACCAGGGUCUAAAAGUUGUUAAAAACCAAAUAAUAACAAAUGAAAAACAUUUUUGUUAUUAUUUUUAGUUAUUAGGGUUCCUUUAUUAAUUUUGUUUGUAAUGGGUCGAAGGCCAGAACCGUUAAUCUGCGCCCGCAGCUUGCAUUCGCUCUUUUACUUACCCCCACUCCAAUUUGCGGGUUGACCGCUGAGUACUAGGUUCCCCUUUCUCUUAGGAGCCGAGUUAAGCAGUAUAGACUCUAGGUUUCCUUCUCUAAGUAAGCAGAAAGUACUUUAUUAACAUAAACAAUAAAAUAAGCAAAGAAAACUUGAGAAAUGCUCUUUAAACAGUAAAAAAUACUUUUAUUGCAAUGAUAAUAUCUUGGAGAAUUGUCUAGAGAUGAUUAUAAAGAGAAAAAUUGAUUUUUAUUACUCCCAGGGUCAAUGUCUACUUAAAAAAAAAAACAAUAAAACAAUACUUAAACAAUACUUAACCUAUUCUUCCACAGUUUAAAUACCUAAUUUGUAUUUAACCUCACUUUUAAGCUUUUAACUCUUAAAAAAGUACAUUCCACGUGUAAAACUAAACUUUCUCUUAUUAUAUUAUACAUUCUACUAUUAAAUAAUCUCUAAUUGCAAUGACAGUAUAGCAACAACACAAUCUACAAAAAGAUGUGACCGGUUUAAAUCCGUCAAAAGAAUAAAACGCGCUGGAUGCACAACGCGCAUCUGACGCAACCGGCGAUGACAAACACGAGAAAUCCCCUUUAUCCGCGUGUGAGACUCACUCGACGGUCGCCUGUCGUUUCUCGUCGGCGCGUAAAUAUUUACACGGUUUUACAGAGUUGAGCAUCAGGGAGAUCUGAGAAUCUCUCGCGCUCGCCCCGACGCCGCCACCGCUUUAUUGCGGAUCGCACGUCUUGAUGCUGCGCGCUAUAAAUUUAAUUAAACCGUCAUCCCACACUCAGUAUCGUAUUGUCUCUCAUGCCACGCACGUUAGAACAACUUGCAAAUCCAACACUUUUUACAAAAGAAAUGAAUUUAACCAAGUUUUUAAUCGUAUUACUAUUGAUAUCUAUAAAUAUCACUAAUAGUUAUCAAUCAUCAUGGAUGGAUUGGUUUAAAAGUAGUGAUAACACAACACAAAUAGAACUCAAACCACAACCAAGAUCACUAAUUAAUAUCCCGUGUAAAAAGUGUUAUAGAAAGACGUUUUUCGGCAAGUGUCGUAAAAUUGCCAACUGCGAAUCGUGAUUUCAUCACAUCCAAGAUUAAUUUUUAUUGUGUUGUAUUCCGGCGGUGAUAUAAAGUGUUUGCUAAGCGAUUAGGCGUGCUCAGAGUUUAUGAGCGUUAUCAGCACGUCGACGGCGGCGGCAUUCGCGACUUUUCAGUGAUAAGUUAACAGUGACGCUGCGCGUGCCGCGACUUGCGCACGAUCUGCUUCCACUUACAUAAUUGAACUUAAUUAGUUUCCAUGUGCGCAUGUCGAAUUGCACCAACUGCGAACUUGUGAACGCACAUCAAAACACAACAAAUCGGUGGCGUAUCAGUUAAAAGCGAGCGUUGACGAUGAAUAACUUCCUUGUAUCGGUGUGGAUAUGCGUGAUUAUGACGGUGAUUGGUACAGAAGAGGUGCCUGCGUUCAUGCCGGCUGUGAAUUGGUUGAGUAUCAAGGGCACGCAGGAAAGGCUCAGUGCCAAACAGGCGCAUAUUGCUAAUAUCAUUACUUGUAAAGAGGGGCAAGUGUUGGAUGCGCAGGGGAAAUGCAGGCCGAAAUUUGGGGGAUUUUUACGUCGAAAAGGAUAAAAAUAAGAUUUGUCGAGGAGUUUUAACCUUUAUUAACAACUACCCACGCUUUGAAUACCAAAUUAUAGUAUUAUAGUAAUUUUACGUAAAUUAUAUUUUAAUGUUUAUUAAAUGUAAAUUAUUCGUUCUAUUUAUGUGUAUUGUUUAAUUGAAUAUUUUGCGGUUUUGUGCAAUAAAACAAUUUGUGUUUUUUAGUA